AGAGAUUAAGUGAUAAAAAUUACAGAAAAUUACAAAAUGGCAAAAUUUUUUUGACAAACACUAUUCUAUUGAAUUUCAUGCUUUGGAUCUUAAUGUUUUCAUUUCUUGAAUAAGUUUCUGUUUUACUUUAGGGUUGAGAUGAAUUGAGGUCCAGCCUUUUAAAUCUGGUUUAGGAUUUUGCUGGGGUUUGAGUGUGUUUUGACUGCGGAUUUCCUGGUUUGAGUUUGCUGCUGUUGCUUCUCUUUGAAUUCCCUAUCAGUUUCGGUUUGUUUUGUUGAUUAUUCAGGUACACUUUUGCACUUCACUCAAUGUAAGGCUUGAUAUUGAAUCGAAAUGGCAUUCGGAGCUCUGAUUAGCAAUUAUAAUUAGUUUUUGUUCAUAAUUUAGCAUACUUGUUUUACUUGCUUAGAUUUCCAGUUUGUUUCAACUGCCAGUUGCUAAUAAAUACCAGGUUGUGAGCUGCAUCUGGCUGUAAAUCAGUAGAGUACUUCAGUUUCUCAUUUGUAGUCUCCCAGUUCAUUGUUGGAAAUUUGGACAUGGUAUUGAACUUGGGAAUCAGUCCUUAUAAAACAAUGUAAUGACAAUGUGCUGCACCUGAACGUUUAUGCCAGUUUGUUCACUAGGUUUUGCUGUAAUAGUUUUUGUUAAGUAAUAUUCUGUUU
rnacentral:lncRNA from 1 species